ensembl:lncRNA
GUUGCACUGGGCCAUCUGUUUCCUGCCAGUACCCUGCUGAUACAAAACUCCAGAUAAACAGCCUGAAAGAGAAUUUGACAAGGAAAAGUGUGGUCAGCACAGUGAUACCGCUGUCUCUUCCAAAGGGCCGUUGCACCAACCCUCCUUCAGUUUCUGCAGAUGGUGGUUAACCCUGAUAGUCAACUCAGAUGUCUCUGAUUGAUUAGAAAUAACUAGAUGGUUUUUCAAUUGCUUCGCAUGGUAUGUUAAAGAGUUGUGUGGAACAGAAAAAGCUAAGCUUCAGAAGAAGAAGCGAUCAGGCUUGGCACACUCUUGUUCUAAAAAUGCAAUGGGGAUAUCAACUCCCCUGGGAGUGCCGUUCUCAAUAUCGAGGCUCCUCAGAAGCCAGGCUUUUCCUGCCUUGUGGAAACUCCCAGACUCCCUCUCAAGGUGAUUUGGGAUGCUUCACUUAGUUGUGAAAGACAAGGGCCUGCCUCUCAGAUCCGAGGCCAGCGCAGAGCCAAGAAUAAGGAGGCAAAAGAGGUGAGCUCUGGGCAACACCGCUCAAGUUGGGGCUUUGGGGGCAUCUAAAUGCAGGCAUGUGGCAGGAAAGCCGGCCGCAGGGUCCUUGGGCUUAGGCGUGGGGCUCCAGCCCAGGAGGGUUGGAGACUGGGUAGAAGGAACACCUCAGGCACAGCUGGAGUCCUG